rnacentral:rRNA from 1 species
UACGUAGGGUGCGAGCGUUAAUCGGAAUUACUGGGCGUAAAGCGUGCGCAGGCGGUUCGUUGUGUCGGCGGUGAAAGCCCCGGGCUUAACCUGGGAAUGGCCGUUGAAACUGGCGAACUGGAGUGUGGCAGAGGGGGGUGGAAUUCCGCGUGUAGCAGUGAAAUGCGUAGAUAUCGGAAGGAACACCAGUGGCGAAAGCGGCUUCCUGGUCCAGCACCGACGUUCAGGCACGAAAGCGUGGGGAGCAAACAGG